UACGGAGGGUGCAAGCGUUAUCCGGAUUCACUGGGUUUAAAGGGUGCGUAGGCGGGCCGGUAAGUCCGUGGUGAAAUCUCUGAGCUUAACUCAGAAACUGCCAUGGAUACUAUUUGUCUUGAAUAUUGUGGAGGUAAGCGGAAUAUGUCAUGUAGCGGUGAAAUGCUUAGAUAUGACAUAGAACACCAAUUGCGAAGGCAGCUUACUACACAGUAAUUGACGCUGAGGCACGAAAGCGUGGGGAGCAAACAGG
rnacentral:rRNA from 1 species